GACGAACCGAGCGAACGUUGUUCGGAAUCACUGGGCUUAAAGGGCGCGUAGGCGGGUGCUCAAGUCCGUGGUGAAAUCCUCCGGCUCAACCGGAGAACUGCCUCGGAUACUGGGCGUCUCGAGUGUGGUAGGGGUAUGCGGAACUAUCGGUGGAGCGGUGAAAUGCGUUGAUAUCGAUAGGAACUCCGGUGGCGAAGGCGGCAUACUGGACCACCACUGACGCUGAUGCGCGAAAGCCAGGGGAGGCGAACGGG
rnacentral:rRNA from 1 species